rnacentral:rRNA from 1 species
GACGAACGCGGCGGCGUGCUUAACACAUGCAAGUCGAACGCUGAAGCUCAGCUUUUGUGGGUGGAUGAGUGGCGAACGGGUGAGUAACACGUGAGUAACCUGCCCCCUUCUUUGGGAUAACGCCCGGAAACGGGUGCUAAUACAGGAUAUUCACUGGCUCUCGCAUGGGGGUUGGUGGAAAGGUUUUUCUGGUGGGGGAUGGGCUCGCGGCCUAUCAGCUUGUUGGUGGGGUGAUGGCCUACCAAGGCUUUGACGGGUAGCCGGCCUGAGAGGGUGACCGGUCACAUUGGGACUGAGAUACGGCCCAGACUCCUACGGGAGGCAGCAGUGGGGAAUAUUGCACAAUGGGCGAAAGCCUGAUGCAGCGACGCCGCGUGAGGGAUGGAGGCCUUCGGGUUGUAAACCUCUUUCGCUCAUGGUCAAGCCGCAGCUUUGGGUUGUGGUGAGGGUAGUGGGUAAAGAAGCGCCGGCUAACUACGUGCCAGCAGCCGCGGUAAUACGUAGGGCGCGAGCGUUGUCCGGAAUUAUUGGGCGUAAAGGGCUUGUAGGCGGUUGGUCGCGUCUGCCGUGAAAUCCUCUGGCUUAACUGGGGGCGUGCGGUGGGUACGGGCUGACUUGAGUGCGGUAGGGGAGACUGGAACUCCUGGUGUAGCGGUGGAAUGCGCAGAUAUCAGGAAGAACACCGGUGGCGAAGGCGGGUCUCUGGGCCGUUACUGACGCUGAGGAGCGAAAGCGUGGGGAGCGAACAGG